rnacentral:misc_RNA from 1 species
GAUGAGAUGCUAUACAGAUCAACAGCGAGAAAAAUGUUUCAGAGAAUCCAAGAAGAAGAUGAGGUCAACCCGUAUAGCGGUUUUUCAAAAACCUAGCGUUAGGAGAUUGCAUUUGCAUGUGCGUGUACUGCGAAAUGCAAUCCCAUUGGAUGCUUUUAUUAUUGUAUGGAAAUGUGAGAAUGAGAUCCUUGGGGAUUUUUCUUCCUUUUCUUUUCUUUUUAAUGAAUGGAAGAAUUUCUCUUCCUUAUUUAUUAUAUAAAAUCAUCCAAUGGGAUUGCAUUUCGCAGUACA